UACGGAGGGUGCAAACGUUGCUCGGAAUCAUUGGGCGUAAAGCGCACGUAGGCGGCCUGUUAAGUCGGGGGUGAAAGCCCGAGGCUCAACCUCGGAACUGCCUUCGAUACUGCGGGUCUCGAGUCCGGGGGAGGUGAGUGGAAUUCCUAGUGUAGAGGUGAAAUUCGUAGAUAUUAGGAAGAACACCAGUGGCGAAGGCGGCUCACUGGCCCGGUACUGACGCUGAGGCGCGAAAGCGUGGGGAGCAAACAGG
rnacentral:rRNA from 1 species